AGCUUUGCGCAGUGGCAGUAUCGUAGCCAAUGAGGUUUAUCCGAGGCGCGAUUAUUGCUAAUUGUAUCAGUCUCGCUCCUUUAAUCACGGACCCAUUAUUGGGGCAUAACACUUUAA
rnacentral:snRNA from 1 species